UACGGAGGAUCCGAGCGUUAUCCGGAUUUAUUGGGUUUAAAGGGUGCGUAGGCGGAUUUGUAAGUCAGCGGUAAAAAUGCGGUGCUCAACGCCGUACAGCCGUUGAAACUGGCAGUCUUGAGUGGGCGAGAAGUAUGCGGAAUGCGUGGUGUAGCGGUGAAAUGCAUAGAUAUCACGAAGAACUCCGAUUGCGAAGGCAGCUCACUAGACUGCAACUGACACUGAUGCUCGAAAGUGUGGGUAUCAAACAGG
rnacentral:rRNA from 1 species